UCCGGAAUUACUGGGCGUAAAGAGCUCGUAGGUGGUUUGUCGCGUUGUUCGUGAAAUCUCACGGCUUAACUGUGAGCGUGCGGGCGAUACGGGCAGACUUGAGUACUGCAGGGGAGACUGGAAUUCCUGGUGUAGCGGUGGAAUGCGCAGAUAUCAGGAGGAACACCGGUGGCGAAGGCGGGUCUCUGGGCAGUAACUGACGCUGAGGAGCGAAAGCGUGGGGAGCGAACAGGAUUAGAUACCCUGGUAGUCCACGCCGUAAACGGUGGGUACUAGGUGUGGGUUUCCUUCCUUGGGAUCCGUGCCGUAGCUAACGCAUUAAGUACCCCGCCUGGGGAGUACGGCCGCAAGGCUAAAACUCAAAGAAAUUGACGGGGGCCCGCACAAGCGGCGGAGCAUGUGGAUUAAUUCGAUGCAACGCGAAGAACCUUAGCUGGGUUUGACAUGCACAGGACGCCGGCAGAGAUGUCGGUUCCCUUGUGGCCUGUGUGCAGGUGGUGCAUGGCUGUCGUCAGCUCGUGUCGUGAGAUGUUGGGUUAAGUCCCGCAACGAGCGCAACCCUUGUCUCAUGUUGCCAGCGGGUAAUGCCGGGGACUCGUGAGAGACUGCCGGGGUCAACUCGGAGGAAGGUGGGGAUGACGUCAAGUCAUCAUGCCCCUUAUGUCCAGGGCUUCACACAUGCUACAAUGGCCGGUACAAAGGGCUGCGAUGCCGCGAGGUUAAGCGAAUCCUUUUAAAGCCGGUCUCAGUUCGGAUCGGGGUCUGCAACUCGACCCCGUGAAGUCGGAGUCGCUAGUAAUCGCAGAUCAGCAACGCUGCGG
rnacentral:rRNA from 1 species